rnacentral:pre_miRNA from 1 species
UAUCCACUCCCUCCGUUCGGAAUUACUUGUCUCGGAAAUGGAUGUAUCUAGAACUAAAAUAUGUCUAGAUACAUCCAUUUCUGCGACAAGUAAUUCUGAACGGAGGGAGUAUGAU